AACGAACGCUGGCGGCAUGCCUAACACAUGCAAGUCGAACGAGACCUUCGGGUCUAGUGGCGCACGGGUGCGUAACGCGUGGUAACCUGCCCUUAGGUUCGGAAUCACUCCCCGAAAGGGGUGCUCAUACCGGAUAAUGUCUUCGGACCAAAGAUUUCUCGCCUUUGGAUGGGCCCGCGUUGGUUUAGCGAGUUGGUAGGGUAAAAGCCUACCAAGGCGACGUUCCAUAGCUGGUCUGAGAAGAUGAUCAACCACAGUGGGACUGAGACCCGGCCCAGACUCCUACGGGAGGCAGCAGUGGGUAAUAUUGGACAAUGGGCGAAAACCUGAUCCAGCAAUGCCGCGUGAGUGAUGAAGGCCGUAGUGUUGUAAAUCUCUUUUACCCGGGAUGAUAAUGACAGUACCGGGUGAAUAAGCUCCGGCUAACUCCGUG
rnacentral:rRNA from 1 species